CCUACGGGUGGCAGCAGUGAGGAAUAUUGGUCAAUGGACGAGAGUCUGAACCAGCCAAGUAGCGUGAAGGAUGACUGCCCUAUGGGUUGUAAACUUCUUUUGUCAAGGGACAAAAUCAGGCUCGAGAGCCUGACCGAGGGUACUUGAAGAAAAAGCAUCGGCUAACUCCGUGCCAGCAGCCGCGGUAAUACGGAGGAUGCGAGCGUUAUCCGGAUUUAUUGGGUUUAAAGGGUGCGUAGGCGGACUGUUAAGUCAGCGGUAAAAGCCCGGGGCUCAACCCCGGCGAGCCGUUGAAACUGGCUGUCUUGAGAUGUCGAGAGGUAUGCGGAAUGCGCAGUGUAGCGGUGAAAUGCUUAGAUAUUGCGCAGAACUCCGAUUGCGAAGGCAGCAUACCGGCGGCGAUCUGACGCUGAGGCACGAAAGCGUGGGUAUCGAACAGGAUUAGAUACCCCUGUAGUC
rnacentral:rRNA from 1 species